CCACCACUAAGCCAGUGGUGAACUCCACAUCCGCAUCCUUUGCUGAGGAUACGGUUAACGGAGCGAAAGCGACGUUCAACCGCAAAACAAGCAGAGGGGGCUUAGUGGUGGGGUGACUGCGUACCUUUUGUAUAAUGGGUCAGCGACUUAUAUUCUGUAGCAAGGUUAACCGAAUAGGGGAGCCGGAGGGAAACCGAGUCUUAAUUGGGCGUUAAGUUGCAGGGUAUAGACCCGAAACCCGGUGAUCUAGCCAUGGGCAGGUUGAAGGUUGGGUAACACUAACUGGAGGACCGAACCGACUAAUGUUGAAAAAUUAGCGGAUGACCUGUGGCUGGGGGUGAAAGGCCAAUCAAACCGGGAGAUAGCUGGUUCUCCCCGAAAGCUAUUUAGGUAGCGCCUCGUGAAUUCAUCUCCGGGGGUAGAGCACUGUUUCGGCUAGGGGGCCAUCCCGGCUUACCAACCCGAUGCAAACUGCGAAUACCGGAGAAUGUUAUCACGGGAGACACACGGCGGGUGCUAACGUCCGUCGUGAAGAGGGAAACAACCCAGACCGCCAGCUAAGGUCCCAAAGUCAUGGUUAAGUGGGAAACGAUGUGGGAAGGCCCAGACAGCCAGGAUGUUGGCUUAGAAGCAGCCAUCAUUUAAAGAAAGCGUAAUAGCUCACUGGUCGAGUCGGCCUGCGCGGAAGAUGUAACGGGGCUAAACCAUGCACCGAAGCUGCGGCAGCGAACGUAUCACCCAAGACAACUUUACGGAGUUGACGAUUGACGGAGCGAAGCGACGUCAAAGCGUUCAUUAAAGUCGAGUUGGCUUAGGGAUACGUUCGUUGGGUAGGGGAGCGUUCUGUAAGCCUGUGAAGGUGUGUCGUGAGGCAUGCUGGAGGUAUCAGAAGUGCGAAUGCUGACAUAAGUAACGAUAAAGCGGGUGAAAAGCCCGCUCGCCGGAAGACCAAGGGUUCCUGUCCAACGUUAAUCGGGGCAGGGUGAGUCGACCCCUAAGGCGAGGCCGAAAGGCGUAGUCGAUGGGAAACGGGUUAAUAUUCCCGUACUUGGUGUUACUGCGAAGGGGGGACGGAGAAGGCUAUGUUGGCCGGGCGACGGUUGUCCCGGUUUAAGCGUGUAGGUGUGUGUUCCAGGUAAAUCCGGUU
rnacentral:rRNA from 2 species